rnacentral:rRNA from 1 species
UGCAUGUCUAAGUACAUGCCGUAUUAAGGCGAAACCGCGAAUGGCUCAUUAAAUCAGUUAUGGUUCCUUGGAUCGUACCUUACUACUUGGAUAACUGUGGCAAUUCUAGAGCUAAUACAUGCAGCAGAGCUCCGACCCUCAGGGGACGAGCGCUUUUAUUAGACCAAAACCAAUCGGACCUCGUGUCCGUCUCUUGUGGUGACUCUGUAUAACUUUGGGCUGAUCGCACGGGCCCGUCCCGGCGACGUAUCUUUCAAGUGUCUGCCUUAUCAACUUUCGAUGGUAGGUUACGCGCCUACCAUGGUCGUAACGGGUAACGGGGAAUCAGGGUUCGAUUCCGGAGAGGGAGCCUGAGAAACGGCUACCACAUCCAAGGAAGGCAGCAGGCGCGCAAAUUACCCACUCCCAGAACGGGGAGGUAGUGACGAAAAAUAACAAUACGGGACUCUUUUGAGACCCCGUAAUUGGAAUGAGUACACUUUAAAUCCUUUAACGAGGAUCCAUUAGAGGGCAAGUCUGGUGCCAGCAGCCGCGGUAAUUCCAGCUCUAAUAGCGUAUAUUAAAGUUGUUGCGGUUAAAAAGCUCGUAGUUGGAUCUCAGUUCCAGACGGGUGGUCCUCCUUACGGUGGCUACUGCCUGUUCUGAACAGCCAGCCGGUUUCUCUUGAUGAUCUUCACCGGUUGUCUUGGGUGACCGGCAAGUUUACUUUGAAAAAAUUAGAGUGCUCAAAGCAGGCGUGACGCCUGAAUAAUGGUGCAUGGAAUAAUGGAAUAGGACCUCGGUUCUAUUUUGUUGGUUUUCGGAACACGAGGUAAUGAUUAAGAGGGACAGACGGGGGCAUUCGUAUUGCGACGCUAGAGGUGAAAUUCUUGGACCGUCGCAAGACGAACUACUGCGAA